rnacentral:lncRNA from 10 species
CUCCCCACAACAGACCUCUCAUCUGGAGCCAAGGGGAGAGAAGAGGAGGAGGAAGACCACAGAUGGACCCAAAGCACUGCACACUGGGUGGUUCUGGGCCCGGACAGGCCAGUAACAAAAAGCAGCAGAAAGAAGGAUACUUUCCAACAAAGCAAGGAGAGUUCAGGAAGAAAGCACAGAUUCUAAUCUGUGUGGCCACAAGAGAACACAUGGUAGAAUCCCUUCCAGCAAAGCCGCCUGCUCUCCCCUGACUGCUUUCCCUUUCUGAGAUGAGUUUUCCUUCCCUGGCCAGGGCUGGGAGGCCGUGCUCCUCCUGGCAGGGGCUCAGGCCACACCUCUUGGAAGAGCAGCUCAGCUGACCUUGGGCCCACAUGUCCUGGAACCAACUCUGAAGCCAACACCAGGCAGUCCCACCCUGAGAAGGGACCAAGCACAGAGGCGGCCACUGCAGCCAACUGCACAGCUGGACCCGGGUAGGGCUCCUCCCUCGGGACCUCCAGAUGGCUCCUCACCCUUGAGGUCCCUUCUUUUUGGUCAGAGCUACUCUAGUCGCACCCACUCAGUCGUGAACUGGAGCAGCAGCCAGAGAGAGAGUAAGACAAUGGUGAAUGAGAAGAGGCCAGGUGACAGGAACCUGCAAGCUCAUCCAUCCACAAACAUCCACUGAGCACCUGCCACGGGCUGGGCCCCGUGCAUUCAACAACAAGAUGAACUAAACUGAGCUUCCAGCAGUGAUGGGACCCACUCAGCAUCGCCAUUCUGCACAGCCUAUCCGCAGCCCCUCUCCGAUAACCCACCAUCAUUUCCCACCAAACAAAUGAAGAAAGAGUGCGGCCUUCAGUUCAGGCUUCAAUGUGUCUUCAUUUGUUUGCAACCGCUGAACACAGCUAUCUGAUAUCACUGUGGCCUGGGACUCUCAGCUUCCAGCAAGUGGGAGCCCCACCUGGCUCAUCCACUUCAAAAGAGGAUUGCAUGCUAAUGAAUUAAUACAUACAAGAAAGUGUUGCAAACUCUACAAUCCUAUAUAAAUCUUAAGAAGAUUAGAAGUUUACCAAAUGCUCUGUAAUGCAUUUUGAAGGGCUAUCCCUUAAAAGAAACUGGAAAUCAGCAAGACAAGCUUUUCCUUCUUUUAGUGUCUUUAUUUAGCCUGUACGUACUACUUGCACACAUUAGUUUCACAGUUAAUUUUACCGCCUUAAAAACAGGACUCAGAUCAAAACCUAAACAUGAGAACUCAGCCACUGACAGUGAUUUUCCUGGUGGCUCCCGGAAGUCAUUGCUCUCAGAGCUUCCAUUUCCCCCUCCCAUUAAGCAAAGGAAAUAGGAGGGGAAGA